UGGAGGAAAGCAGGGGAUCGUAAGACCUUGCGCUUAUGGAGCGGCCGAUGCCUGAUUAGCUAGUUGGUGGGUAAUGGCUCACCAAGGCUACGAUCAGUAGUUGGUCUGAGAGGACGGCCAGCCACACUGGGACUGAGACACGGCCCAGACUCCUACGGGAGGCAGCAGUGGGGAAUUUUGGACAAUGGGCGAAAGCCUGAUCCAGCAAUGCCGCGUGAGUGGAGAAGGCCUUCGGGUUGUAAAGCUCUUUCAGUCGAGAAGAAAAGGUUGUGACUAAUAAUCACAAUUUAUGACGGUAUCGACAGAAGAAGCACCGGCUAACUACGUGCCAGCAGCCGCGGUAAUAUGUAGGGUGCAAGCGUUAAUCGGAAUUACUGGGCGUAAAGGGUGCGCAGGCGGCUUUGUAAGUCAGAUGUGA
rnacentral:rRNA from 1 species